GGGGGCGAGCGCGUUCUGCGAUGCGUCGCCCCCUGCUCGCUCGCGCGAGGAAUAGAACCGCCUAAGGCCUCGUUUGGUAACACCCGGAACGGCCCGGAACGUCCUCCGUUCCAGCCGGAUCGAAGUGGUCCAGUUUCAAACCAGGUCUGGACUGGAAGUAUCGUUCGUUUUGGGUCGCCCGGAUUGGAAACGGGCCCGGCUUUGGCCAAUCCACCUCCUCCACGGCCCGGAACCGAUCCCCACCUCCCACCCUCCGGAACGAAGCCUGGCGAUGCGAGCGAGAGGCCGGCGCAGCUGAGGAGACGACGCGGCUGACGGUGCGAGAGGCGACGGCGCGGCGGCGCGGCACAGCUUCGACGGCGCCAUCCUCUCCACUGCCUUCUCAUCUAUAUAGAUCCCUUCCGCACCGGUUCGAGUUGGAGAAGGUGAAGCUCCCCCUUCUUGGGAUCCGGUAUCAACUCCAAAAGUUGAGGAUUCCGGUGAUGGUGUAUCAGCGGCAGCAACAAACUUUCAGAGUUAAGCUUGCAUUGAUAAUGAUGAGUUGUUGCAAAAAAAAGGUCGCUGAAGAACCUGUGCUAUAUUUAUCACCAUUUGAUGUUGUACUUAAGAAUGUGCCAUUAUAUUGAUGUACUCUUAUAUGUCAAACAGAAACCUAUGCUACGCAAUACUCUGAUUUGUGCCUGUGUCGGGCAUGUCAUGGUUUUGUUCCUGCCGAACAGCAACAACUGUUUUUAAUCCUAGCCUGGAUUGUCAGGAUUAAAUCCUGGCCGGAUUGAGUGACACGGGUGGAAUCGCUCAAACUGGUCCUGGAAGCAAUCCUGCCCAGAUUCCAAACCGGCAGAAACUAACGAGCAGAAUCAAACUUGCUGCCCAUUUGUUUGUUCGGCAGCAAUGGAUACAAAGUGCUCUAACACUACAGCUAGGAUACAAGUUUGAUCAGUAUUCUCCAUCCAUAUAAUUUUCAGCAGACCCAAUCAUCAACCUGAGACUCAUAUGCUUAGAUGCUGUAAGUGCCACUAACAUGACGAUGAAAGCAGCACUAGCAUUUCUUCACCUCCAAGAUAAUUUGACUAACAGAUCAGAUCAUUAUAUCCAUGGUUGAAAAAUCAAUCACCCUGCCAACAACAGGCCUUUGCUCUUGAACCUGCAGGAUUUUUUAGUUAGAAGACAGUUUACUCUAGAAUGGCUUCAAGUUAAAGACCAUAGAACACUUACAGUGCACAACUGUUGCCCAGCGAUUUGGGCACUUGUUGCUUUAAAGAUAGGAACGGGGAUGGGUAAUUGGCAUCACCACAUUCAUUUUGUUUGCUCGAUGGAACCUUCUCAGCCAAAGAUAUGCCAAAUACUUCGCAACUAUUUGUGUUAACUUCCCUGUUAUCUGCUCCCUCCUUCCCAACAGAGUGAAUUUUUUCAACUGUACAUGUCUAUUUCUCCUUCAGAAACAUGUUGAGGCUGGAGCAUCAAAGUUUGCUCAGUUCCUCCAAUACCUCCAGCAUGGCCAAGCAUAGCAGGAUGUUAGCUAGCGAAUCAAGAUUUGAACACUGAUUAUAAAGCGCUGAAAAGGCGGAUCCAUUUUUAAGCUGAGCUGCACGGCGCACUAAGUCUUAGCUCGCCAUCAUCUCCCCUGAAAAUUAUUAGGAAUCUUCAGAAAAGAGCGCCACGAACAUGGAGCACACCGCCGGCGGCGAGCUCUUCGCGCGGCCCAGAGCACGCGGCUCCCCAAGCCCGUGGCGCGCCGGUACUUCUAGCAGCUGGUCACGGCCGUCAAGUUCUGCCACAGCCGCAUCAGUACCACCGCAACCUCAAGCCCGAGAACUUGCUUCUCGACGCGUGCGGCGACCUCAAGGUCUCCAACUUCGGGCGCCCAUCGUGCGCGGCCCCAACACGGCAACACCGCCGCCACCCGCCUCCCCCUCCCCGUCGCGAGCGCCUCCGCCGCCGCUUCCCCCGUCCCCAUCCCCAUCCUCCGUCGCUGUUCCCGUACCCGUCCCUGAGCGCCGCCGCUCCGUCCUUCCCAUCCGGGUCGCGCCACCACCUCCGCCGGCGCGUCGUACGCCUCCCACAGCUGCCGGACCUUCGCCGGGAGGUCAAGAUCCGCACCGAGCCGCCAUUCCCCGUCGCCUCCGCCACCCGUCCCACGUCGGUUUCUGCGCUGCCGCCAAGAAGGGUCUGGUGGAGAAAGCAUAUAUAGUGGGAAAUUUGCAGAUGAAGCUUGUGCCCUACGCCAUGAUGAUCGUGGUCUCUUGACAACGGCAGAUACUGGCUCCCAAUUCUGUAUUUCUUUCAAGCCUAAUUCUCAUCUUGACAGCUGUUACAGGAUAUCCUGACAUCCACCAUGGCUAACAACACUAGAACUGUCUCUAGCCUCGAUGAGGUCAAUGUUGUCUUGCAAGAGAUGGGCAUCAAUACGAUUGCCGGAGCCGAUCAAGUUGAAUUUCGUUUGCAUGAGCAAACAUCUCUUCAAAAUGCAAUGAACUUGAAGGCAAAGGUCCGACCUGGAAGGCGUGGCUUUAAAUUGCUUAAUCCUGAACUGUUGGAAUGCAAAUUUAAAGCCAUGCUCAAGGUACAGGAGAGUUUUGAAACAAUGUUGGAGACAUGCAUGGCUGAGUGUGAUCUUCAGAUGCUUCCACUUGAAGUCCAGAUUGCGCAUCUGAAUCAACUCUUGCUCUCCACCGAUGCGCAAAUCGCACAUGUUGGACCUCCACGUGAGGAAAGGAAUCGUGGGGUGCAGCAAAAUAUCUAUCCAAACCCACCGUUUCCUGAGGAUCCAAGCUUUGGGUUAGCUCAUGGAAAUCUAAGAGUACCUUAUCAGCCAGCAUUUGCUACAAAUGAAGAGAUGGAUGCAGCUAUUUAUCGUGAUAAGCGUGCUCAGAGGGCCUUCUGGAGGACCAAUCUUCGCCUUUUGGAGAUAAAAAAAUCCGUUCUGGAGAAGAAGAAGAUCGAACUGGAAAGAAGUCUGAGAGCGGAGUUUAGACAAGUGAUCCAAGAGCAAUCGGAUCUUGGGGUUGGCUAUGCGAAUUUCACCAUAUAGUGAACUGAUCACCAUCAAUCCAGAAUUUCUACACACUAAUUCCAGAGAAUGGUAAAUAUGCCUGACCAACGUGUCCUUAGGGUGGACAUGCUUCGGUGAAGGGCAGCCAUGGCGAAGGCAUUGGUGAACAGAGCAACAGUGCUGAAGUGGAGCCAUGCAGUAGUCUAUUUCUGAUUGGAAUGUAAUGAGCAGUUUGUAAGAUUAAGUGGUAUAUGGAGCUGAGAUCUCAUGAAUAUCUAUGCAUUUUAUAGAAUGCUCAGUUUGCAACUAUACCAUUCAUAUGAUGGUUGCACCUUAGCAUUUUUUAUGUCAAAUAUUUCUGAGUACUUCCAUUAAGUAACUUUAGUUGCUUGUGUCUUUCUUCCUGUUAAA